GUCCACGCCGUAAACGAUGGAUACUAGGUGUAGGAGGUAUCGACCCCUUCUGUGCCGCAGUUAACACAAUAAGUAUCCCACCUGGGGAGUACGACCGCAAGGUUGAAACUCAAAGGAAUUGACGGGGGCCCGCACAAGCAGUGGAGUAUGUGGUUUAAUUCGAAGCAACGCGAAGAACCUUACCAGGACUUGACAUCCCUCUGACCGCUCUAGAGAUAGAGCUUUCCUUCGGGACAGGGGUGACAGGUGGUGCAUGGUUGUCGU
rnacentral:rRNA from 1 species